rnacentral:misc_RNA from 1 species
AACAAGGCGUACCUGCGGACCUGCGGAGGGAUCAUUACAGAGUUCGUGCCCUCGCGGGUAGAUCUCCCACCCUUGUGUAUUCUCUACAUCUUGUUGCUUUGGCAGGCCGUUGGUUCGCCAACCACCGGCUCGCGGGCUGGUGCGUGCCUGCCAGAGGACCUCUCAAACUCGGUUUGUUAGUGUCGUCUGAGUACCAUAACAAUCGUUAAAACUUUUAACAACGGAUCUCAGAUCGGAAGA